GCCUGCGGCCACACCACUUUGAAUAAGCCUGAUCUUGUCUGAUCUCAGAAGCUAAGCAACGUUGGGCUUGGUUAGUACUUGGAAGGGAGACCACCUGGGAAUAUCAAGUGCUGUAGGCAUU
rnacentral:rRNA from 1 species